GUGUUCAUUUUGGUAGCACAUAUAUUAAAAUUGGAAUGGCACAGAAGAUUAGCAUGGCCCUUGUGCAAGGAUGAAAUAAGUUCAAAUAUAGCCUCAGAUACUUAUU